GUUUUUUCCUGCAGGAUAUUCGUCGUUCCGGCAGUGUUUUCUUUUUUUUUCCGGCUCGGUGGUCUCGAUGAUAUGCAGACGCAGAAAAAAAGCCAUUUAUAAACGCAACAUGUCUCUUUUCGCUUUCCAAACAGAAGAAACGGCUGCAAGCCGGUAGUUGCCUCGUGUGCUCCCCCCCCUCCCCCAGGGCUUGUUUAGCCCUUAUAUUUUCGCUUUAUGAAGUGGUUUCAUUUCCAAGAAGGCAGCGAAUUCUUUUCGGACCAGGGAGAUGAGAUAGACGCCUGAAUGGAAGUUGCUCAUACGCUGUAGCACUCGCUCUGCCUGAAACGCUCCAUUGCAUUACCUGCUGCACCAUCCUGAGCAGCAUCUUGUUAGAAGAGUGUGUUUUCGCGCCGUUAUCCUUUUCUAAGCGUAUUAAAAAGACGCUCAGGCUGGCCUACCAUUGCAUAUUUUCCACCCGGGGAAAAGUGUGGCUAUCCAGCGUCGUCCGCCGCUACGUCGUCAGUGUCUAUGGGGGACUCAAAACUCAUGCAAGCGUCCCGCCGUCGCUGUCGAAUCAGAUUAGCACACUAGAAGAAUAUGCUUGUGUGGUGUAAGUCGUUCGUGAUGAGAUUCAACAUUCACUCGACUGUGUGGUUAAAAGGCUCGGGUCACGCCCGGCAUGCGCAGUAGUAGGUUGAAGGAACUGUUAGCGAGUGAAGGCCUUCUACCUUAAAAGCUGUCGCGUCGUCUGCAUUUGCAUCAACGCCGUAAGGAAACGAGCGACAAUAUGAAAGCUCAAGGAUAUGGGGGCACUGCAAUAUCUGUGGUUGUUCUGGAAAGGGUCGCUGGGCAUUCUGGUGCCAGGGCGAGAGGUGUCUGGCGGAUGCGAGGGCGUGUACCUCACUCAGUAAGAGUGCUCGCUAGUUUGCGAGAGACCAUGCGCCUUGCACAAAUGUUGUCAACUGUUUCGAUUACCGUAAAUUCUCUUUUAGACAGACUAUUUGGGUCCCAAUGAACACUAGCACCCGUUUUGAGAUGCUUUCCUGCGGCUCUCCCACCCUCCGCGGUUGGCCCAUAAUUGCAG
rnacentral:lncRNA from 1 species